rnacentral:rRNA from 1 species
GACGAACGCUGGCGGCGUGCUUAACACAUGCAAGUCGAACGAAGAGCGAUGGAAGCUUGCUUCUAUCAAUCUUAGUGGCGAACGGGUGAGUAACGCGUAAUCAACCUGCCCUUCAGAGGGGGACAACAGUUGGAAACGACUGCUAAUACCGCAUACGAUCUAAUCUCGGCAUCGAGGAUAGAUGAAAGGUGGCCUCUACAUGUAAGCUAUCACUGAAGGAGGGGAUUGCGUCUGAUUAGCUAGUUGGAGGGGUAACGGCCCACCAAGGUGAUGAUCAGUAGCCGGUCUGAGAGGAUGAACGGCCACAUUGGGACUGAGACACGGCCCAGACUCCUACGGGAGGCAGCAGUGGGGAAUCUUCCGCAAUGGACGAAAGUCUGACGGAGCAACGCCGCGUGAGUGAUGACGGCCUUCGGGUUGUAAAGCUCUGUUAAUCGGAACGAAAGGCCUUCUUGCGAAUAGUGAGAAGGAUUGACGGUACCGGAAUAGAAAGCCACGGCUAACUACGUG